rnacentral:rRNA from 1 species
AUUGAACGCUGGCGGCAUGCCUUACACAUGCAAGUCGAACGGUAACAGGUCUUCGGAUGCUGACGAGUGGCGAACGGGUGAGUAAUACAUCGGAACGCGCCUAGUAGUGGGGGAUAACUACUCGAAAGAGUGGCUAAUACCGCAUGAGAUCUACGGAUGAAAGCAGGGGAUCGCAAGACCUUGUGCUACUAGAGCGGCCGAUGGCAGAUUAGGUAGUUGGUGGGAUAAAAGCUUACCAAGCCGACGAUCUGUAGCUGGUCUGAGAGGACGAUCAGCCACCCUGGGACUGAGACACGGCCCAGACUCCGACGGGAGGCAGCAGUGGGGAAUUUUGGACAAUGGGCGCAAGCCUGAUCCAGCAAUGCCGCGUGUGUGAAGAAGGCCUUCGGGUUGUAAAGCACUUUUGUCCGGAAAGAAAUCCAAUCGAUUAAUACUCGGUUGGGAUGACGGUACCGGAAGAAUAAGCACCGGCUAACUUCGUGCCAGCAGCCGCCGUAACAC